UCGGAUCCCGACUCGGUCCGGUCCGAUCUCGUUGACGAUCGCCUCGACGAUUUCUAGAGCGAAUCGGCAGCGGUUUUGUAAAGAUCCGCCGUAUUGGUCAGUCCGGUCGUUUACUUGGUCUUUCAUGAAUUGCUCGAUCAGCAAGUCUGAAAUCAUUAACAACAAGCGGAAUCUCCUCUGUAGUUAGCUUCCUUGGAGGUGUACAUUGUGCAGCUUCAAUGCCAUUGCUUCGCAGUUGAGGAAAUAGUUGUUUGUCUGUGGAAGAUAUUGGGGCUUGUCCAUUUGGCUGAAAACCUGUUCAAUAGAUCAAGAAUUUAAAAUGGAAUUAAAAGACGACAAUAAUAACCAUUGCAAUUAUAUUAAAGGACAAAUAGUAUACCGGUAUUUGAAACCCUUCCAACAUGCCAAAUUUGACAGAAGAAGAUUCCGCCUUUUGCAUGAACAGCAUCCACAAUUGGCUUCCAUGCCUCCACUUGUUCCUUUGUCCAUAUACCUGGUGUUUCUGGAUACCUUAAACAACAACAAACACGUUUAUCAACAAAACUAUUUCCUAUCAAGACAUUUGUUCUACUUUGAAACAUCAAUCCAAUUAUAUCAUACCCUUGGGCAGUGUCGGAAACGUCAGUGGCUUCUGAAAUAAGAAGGCCUCCUUUUGUUGUUCUUUGUGAAUAAUAUAAGAUUGCAUGUGGCUGAGGGACAUUCCCAUAGGAUCUCAGCCUUGUUAGAGGUGCCAAAACGACUCUGUAUAACAUAAGAAAAGACCCAUGAAUCAGUUCGUGAACUAUUAAAAGUAGACGCAACCCGAAAAGAAAGACAAAUGGGAGAAGAGGAAAGAUGUAUUAUAUAUAACCACCUGUGAGAAAGCUCAAAGUUACACAUUUUGUAGGGUGUGAGAAGAGGGAUUUUUCCUUCAUCGACUUGUUUUUCUCCUUCUUUCUCGGCCAUUUUUGAGGUUGAGGGUGUUGAAAAGAUUGAUUUGGAAAUUUGUUAUAUAUGAGUACCAGAAGUCGAACGAAGUGGAUUCUACUUAUAGAUGCCGAUUUUGGUGAAGGAAUGGCAAAGAAAGACUCUUUUAACAUUAUUUUGAAAUAUGACAACUUUGACACCGUAAUUUUCGUUUUUAUUGUCGGAAAUUCCAUCUCUUUUUUUAUUAUUAAACAAAGCCUCUAAUAAUUCAGAAUUUGUAGAUUCUGUAUUGGUUAAAGUGACUAAUAAUCAAUUACAUUAGUGAAUUAAUAGUAUACAUGUAAGCUUUAAUUGCUUGUAUUUCCA